rnacentral:lncRNA from 1 species
GGGUCGAAAUCAGACCCUGAGGCACAAAACUGAGACUCGACGACGACUCCAAGACUCUUUAGUAUAUCAGAGAGUGGGAUUUAAUAGCAGAUUAAAUAAGGUUUUUAUAGAUGUUGAUUUUGGGUGAUUUGGAGUUGAUAUGACUUAGGAAGACCUUUGCAAAAUCAAGGUUUGUUUCGGAUAAUUUGGAUUUUAUGAAAUAAAAUAGGGUUUAUGUUUUGGAUGAUUUCAAGAGUUUUGUAAGAGAUCUAUGGGUGAAAUUUUGUGGGUUUAUGGUUAUAGUUGUGUUUAAUAUGUGUCGUAAAUUUGAGCUUGAUCUAAUGGUUGAACUGAGGAAUAUUGAGGUUUAAGUGGAUCAAGGUCUCAGAAAGUAGAAUUUUAGGUCUAGUAGGAGUUUUUAAGUUUUCUUGCAAUCUACUAUUUGGAUUGGAAUAAAAAUUACGUGAGAAGAUAUUAGACUUGUUUUUCUAUUUGUAUGAGAAUUUUGAGAUCAAUCGAACGGUGUAAAAAAGAGAUAUUGGCUCUGAAAGAUUGGCAUCAAGAUUGGAGAAGGAGGCCGGCCAAAACCCAAGUACAUUUUUGAGGAUAUCGUCAACUUGGUAACUCUGAUCUUUUUCAAUUUUUUGUGCUUGUUUUGAACUUAGUUUUUAAGAAGUAUGCAAAUUUUGAGUUAAAAUCAAUGGUUUAUUCAUUAAUUAUUGAGGUUUAAAUCUGUUGUAGAAAUUACUAGGGUUUGGUUUAGGGUUUAGUUAGGGUUUGAUUAGGAUUUGGUUUAGGAUUUGGUUUAAGGUUUGAUUUAGGAUUUAGGAUUUAGGGUUUGGAUUAGGAUUUAUUUUAGGAUUAGGAUUUGAUUAGGAUUUGGUUUAAGAUUUAGGAUUUGGAUUAGGAUUUAAUUUAGGGUUUAAGAUUUGAUUAGGGUUUAAUUUAGGAUUUAGGAUUUGAUUAGGGUUUUAUUUAGGAUUUAGAAUUUGGUUAGGGUUUGAUUUAGGGUUUAGGAUUUAGUUAGGGUUUGAUUUAGGAUUUGGGAUUUGGAUUUAGGAUUUGAUAAAGAUUUGAUUUAGGAUUUUAUUAGGAUUUAUUUAAGGUUUAAGAUUUAAUUAAUUUGGGCCUAAAGUUUGAAUGAAGUCCAAUAGGAUUUUAACUAAGAUUAAAUUAAGAUUGAAUUGAGAUAUGUUUGAGAGAUAUUUGUGAUUAUUCUAAUAUUUCUUUAAUAUUUCUUAUUAUUUCUUUGAAAUUUCUUUGAGAUUUCUUUGAAUUUGAUUAAGCUUGUUUAGCAUUAUUGUGGUCCAAUUAGAGCAUUAUUAGUAUUCUAUUAGAAUUAGGAUUUUGUUAUUGCAAUUUCUAUUCUUUCUUCCACAACCAAGUGCCCGGAGCAUUCUCAAGCAAGACUUCAUGUAUUAUGACACCGCUAUAAAGCU